rnacentral:rRNA from 1 species
AACGAACGCUGGCGGCAUGCCUAACACAUGCAAGUCGAACGAGACCUUCGGGGCUAGUGGCGCACGGGUGCGUAACGCGUGGGAACCUGCCCUUAGGUUCGGAAUAACUCCCCGAAAGGGGUGCUAAUACCGGAUAAUGUCUUCGGACCAAAGAUUUAUCGGCUUUGGAUGGGCCCGCGUUGGAUUAGCUAGUUGGUAGGGUAAAAGCCUACCAAGGCGACGAUCCAUAGCUGGUCUGAGAGGAUGAUCAGCCACACUGGGACUGAGACACGGCCCAGACUCCUACGGGAGGCAGCAGUGGGGAAUAUUGGACAAUGGGCGAAAGCCUGAUCCAGCAAUGCCGCGUGAGUGAUGAAGGCCUUAGGGUUGUAAAGCUCUUUUACCCGGGAUGAUAAUGACAGUACCGGGAGAAUAAGCUCCGGCUAACUCCGUG